rnacentral:lncRNA from 1 species
AUCAGGUCAUUACCCACAGAGCGCCAGGUUAGAUCUGCCCAGUGUAGAUCAGGUCAUUGUCCAC